CCAGACUCCUACGGGAGGCAGCAGUGGGGAAUAUUGGUCAAUGGGAGAGAUCCUGAACCAGCCAAGCCGCGUGAGGGAAGACGGCCCUAUGGGUUGUAAACCUCUUUUGCCGGGGAGCAAAGAGCGGGACGCGUCCCGCCUCGAGAGUACCCGGAGAAAAAGCAUCGGCUAACUCCGUGCCAGCAGCCGCGGUAAUACGGAGGAUGCGAGCGUUAUCCGGAUUUAUUGGGUGUAAAGGGAGCGUAGACGGUGCGCCAAGUCUGGAGUGAAAUGCCGCAGCUUAACUGCGGAACUGCUUUGGAAACUGGCGAACUAGAGUGCGGGAGGGGUAAGCGGAAUUCCUAGUGUAGCGGUGAAAUGCGUAGAUAUUAGGAGGAACACCGGUGGCGAAGGCGGCUUACUGGACCGUAACUGACGUUGAGGCUCGAAAGCGUGGGGAGCAAACAGGAUUAGAUACCCCAGUA
rnacentral:rRNA from 1 species